GUGGAAUCUGCGCAUUGAUCAGAGCAUCUGGCUCUCACGAUCUCUCAGAGACUGUCAGAUCGCUGACUGUAGACUGUGACAUCCAGAUUAGACUGUUAGGUGGCUGCGAUCUUCUUGUGCAGAGGGGGCAGAAAAUUUUGCUAGCAGAAGCCACAGACAUAUUGGCUAGGAGUCUGCAGCAGCUGAGAAAGAGAGGGAUUGGCUCUUCAGAUAAGGUUACGUGUCCCUUGCACCUCUGCCCCUCUCUAUUGGCUUGCUCCCUGCUUAACUUGUUGAAGGAAAAUGAAUAGUCUGCUUCCAGGGGAACUCAGCCUGUGAUGCCUCGCUUGAAGCAUUUCUCAGGAAGCUCCACCAAAAUGAGGGUAUAAACGAAGGAAGAGGCCGGCAUUGGAUACAGAAACAGGAGGACCAUCGUAAAGGAGGAGCGAAGGGAAUCUCUAGGACAGUGGUAAAGGGAGAUCUAAUGAUGACAGCUAUGCCACAGAGAGGAUGCAACCAGUCCAGACGGAAGAAGUUCUGAAAGCUACAGAAGACGCUUCAAGAAGGUGAAACUGAUGGACUAAUUGAUAUAGUUGACCACAUUGAGAGGCGGUCAGGACAAACAGCAAAGAGUUUGGAGUUGAAUUAAUGGGGAGUAUUUAAAUGUUAAAAAUGAGAAACAGGGCAAAUAAUUCCUGGGAAAACAAAAAUUGUACAGGGAAGGACUUCAUAGGUUAUUAUACGGCUCAGUUGUGAAUAGGGUUGAAAAAGUUAUGAAAUUGUAAACCCCGAAUAUUGCUCUAACCGCAAUGAUAAGUAUUCUGAAGGGAGGAUGGGGAGCUUCUGUGCGCAGGGAGGAGCAAGGGAGGAAACACAGAUCUUCAUUCUCCUCAGUGGGCAGUCAAUACACGGCUCCCAAAACUGAAACAUCGAACACUGUAUGUGGAGAAUCGGGAUAAAUACUGAGAGAGCCUGGUAAACGAGAUGCAAGUGAUUCCCUUUCGGGAAGAGACUGCUCUUUUUU
ensembl:lncRNA